rnacentral:rRNA from 1 species
CGUAACAAGGUCUCCGUUGGUGAACCAGCGGAGGGAUCAUUACCGAGUUUACAACUCCCAAACCCCUGUGAACAUACCUAUACGUUGCCUCGGCGGAUCAGCCCGCGCCCCGUAAAAAGGGACGGCCCGCCCGAGGACCCCUAAACUCUGUUUUUAGUGGAACUUCUGAGUAAAACAAACAAAUAAAUCAAAACUUUCAACAACGGAUCUCUUGGUUCUGGCAUCGAUGAAGAACGCAGCAAAAUGCGAUAAGUAAUGUGAAUUGCAGAAUUCAGUGAAUCAUCGAAUCUUUGAACGCACAUUGCGCCCGCCAGUAUUCUGGCGGGCAUGCCUGUUCGAGCGUCAUUUCAACCCUCAAGCUCAGCUUGGUGUUGGGACUCGCGGUAACCCGCGUUCCCCAAAUCGAUUGGCGGUCACGUCGAGCUUCCAUAGCGUAGUAAUCAUACACCUCGUUACUGGUAAUCGUCGCGGCCACGCCGUAAAACCCCAACUUCUGAAUGUUGACCUCGGAUCAGGUAGGAAUACCCGCUGAACUUAAGCAUAUCAAUAAGCGGAGGAAAUGUCUCCGCG